GGAGCCACACCCUGCUGCUGAACAGGAAGGGGUCACACAGUCAGGCACCUGGCUUCACACUUUGUUUCCACACGCCCUAGCGGUGGCAUCUUAUGUCAGCCCCUGUUGUGUCUCUGACUCCACUCUCUUCAUCUCUAUAAAGUCAGUCAGGUUAAGAACCCAGGACAGAGAUUUAUUACUGAUGUGACUGGACUGUGGGGGCUGGCAGCCCGGGUUCUUGAUGCUCUGACUCCUUCUAAGGAGGUGGGCUGGAGAGAGGAGAGUGUGGAUGCAUUCAAAUACACAUAUAUUGUUUGCAGGAGACUUAUUUCAAGGAAUUGGCUUAUGCGGCUCUGGAGGUCGGCUAGACAAGGCCAACAUCUGUAGCUCCGGCAAUCAGGUGACAUUGGUGGGCCCCUGUUGUAUGCAGGUCUGGAGCCACCUCCCUGCCCCGCUGCCUUUGGGUGAGUUCCCAACUGAUAAUUGCUCCCAGCCCUUGACCCCUUGGAACUCCCCUCCCAAGGACUAGAGCUGAGCCCUGCCCCCACCCCUCCAGCCUGGCCUCUGGGCCUCCCCAGGUGGGAUCCUAUAGGCCCUUCUAAUGAAGUUCUCCCCGACUCUGUUCAGGGCACCCACCACCCGUGGAAGAGCACCGGCCGGCCCUCAGCCUUGGCUGCUGACAGCAGCAAUCCAUCUCCAUCACAGUAAUGGCGUCCCCAUUAAUCGGCCAUAAACUAAUAAAGCAAGCACUUUCCACCCUACACCCC
rnacentral:lncRNA from 1 species